rnacentral:lncRNA from 1 species
AUGCUGUGGAAGUCCAAGGGCCGGAGGAGGAGGGCCUCCCACCCCACGGCCGAGUCCUCCAGUGAGCAGGGUGCCAGCGAGGCGGACAUCGACAGUGACAGUGGCUACUGCAGUCCCAAGCACAACAAGCAGCCUGCGGCGGGGGCCUUGAGAAACCCUGAGCCCGGGACCACGAGCCAUGUGGAAUCAUCUGCAUGUGCAGGUGGUGUAAAUUGGUCCAAUGUAACUUGCCAGGCAACUCAGAAAAAACCUUGGAUGGAAAAAAAUCAGACAUUUUCUAGAGGCGGAAGGCAAACUGAACAAAAAAAUAAUUCACAGGUUGGAUUCAGAUGCCGAGGACACAGUACGUCCUCAGAAAGAAAGAAUUUGCAAAAGAGACAAGACAAUAAGCAUAUAAACCCCACUCAGUCCCAUAGAAGUGACCCAAAGUCUGAGUCUUUAUAUUUUGAGGAUGAAGAUGGGUUUCAAGAACUGAAUGAGCACAGCAAUGCUCAGGAUGAGAAUAUUCAACAGAAACUCUCUUCAAAAGUACUGGACGACUUACCUGAAAACUCACCGAUCAACAUCGUUCAGACCCCGAUUCCCAUCACCACCUCCGUCCCUAAACGUGCAAAAAGUCAGAAGAAGAAAGCUUUAGCAGCAGCUCUCGCCACAGCUCAAGAGUAUUCAGAAAUAAGUAUGGAGCAAAAAAAAUUACAGGAAGCCUUAUCAAAAGCAGCUGGAAAAAAAACCAAAACCCCCGUGCAGCUGGAUUUAGGAGACAUGUUAGCAGCUCUGGAGAAACAGCAGCAAGCAAUGAAGGCCCGGCAGAUCACCAACACCAGACCUCUCUCAUGCACGGAUGCUAACUUAUGAAAGUAUGAAUACGCAUCUCUGUGUGCAGAGUGUUCUGUUAGGAGCUGUUGGGAUUACAGACGUGGUCAAAA